UCAAUUUAUUCAAGCAUACGAAAUGUAUACGAAAUGUAGUGAUGACUCCGGAAAAAAUGACAUCAGAACUAGUCAUAAUAGAUAACAUGGCUUAGUGAACAAAUCGAAUAGCGAAUUCAUUAUGCUUUUAAACUACAUUCAAUUGAAAGUAGAAAAGGCCAUAGGACAAUGAAGAAGAAGAUGAUUCACAAAUCCUACAUCAUGUUAGCACUUCAAAACCAAUUCAUUAUAAUCUUCCUUAUCCGUGUCAAGUUGCCAACAGUGAGGAUCUUUGACUAGGGCACGUCCCCCAAAUAGGCCUCCCAAAGGGGCCUUGCCGACCCUUAAGAGCUGACUUGAUUGGGAAUUAACCCGAAGGAUCAUACUAUUGCAUGACUUGUUGGGAGUUAUGAGUUUCAAUAGCUAGGACCCCCUGUCCAGAAGCCCUCCCACAAUGACAGCUCCUCCCUUUUUAUCAGUAGGUCUUUUGACCAUCUUCACUGGUGAUCUCCAUUUAUCCUACACUAGUUAACCAUCCACAUCAAGUAAGGAUAUUUCUAAGGGAUAAUUGGUCAAAAAUACCUUAAAAUAGUUUUAUUUUAGUAUAAAAAUUACUUAUAAAAGAUGCUUAAAGCUAAGAUUCAUAUAUGUUAUUUGAGGUUGAGAAGAAAAAUUGGCCCCAUGGACCUUAGCUUUAAACAUCUUUUAAUUAUCUUUAUACUAUAAUGAAAUUAUUUUGAAAAUUUUUUGACCAAAUUACCUCUAUUUUCCAAAACACAACUCUCAAUAAGAUUGAGAUAAGAAGCAUCUAUUCCCAGCUGCCCGAGCUACACCAAGUUUCAACAGUUGUACCAUUGUUAUUAUACAUACGCCUUUUUCCCCUUUUUCUUUUUUCCUCUUUUCCCUUUCGCAUGAUAAAUCCCUCCACAAAUUCCUUAAAACACAGCCUUUCUUGGUAGCGUGCACUUCAGAAAUCAUGAGGAAGAUACACAUGGAAACACGUGUAUGAACACGUACAACUAUAAAGGAACUUUCAGAAUAGUGACAUAACAAUUAACAGGAUGUAACCAUUACCUAAGCAGGAAAACUAUGUCUCCUAAUUUUAUUUUAUUUAUGUAAUUCUUGUAGACAAAACAGAAAUGGAACACAUACUCUUUUUUAGCUAAUUGUAAGGGAGUAAAAUAUACAAUGACAUAGUCUGGUCUUGUUAAGAAAGAGGCCUCCGCCGAGAUAUUGCUAUGAAAGUAAGUUCGAUGGUCCUCUGUGGUGCUCAGUAUAGACACAGUCGAACACAUGCAUUGUCCGAGGUAAGGCUAUCGUUACUUCUUGAGCUAUGCUUAGUUAGAAAGUUUGGAAGAAUAGCUGCGCAGAGCAUUGGACAAGGGCAAACGACGGCAACAAUCCGAGGGAUGUUAGAGGACCAAAGGUAAUUACAACGUCAAAGUUUCUUCGAACAGCCCCAUGUCUGGGACGAAGACUGACCACAUGAUGAACGUUACCAGCCAAGCCAUACAAAGCGUGGGGAGUUCAGCUGCCUACUCACCCAAAUACAGCAGACAGCGUGUUCGAGCAAGAACCGCAAGUCAUCAAUGACAAGACAGUAGCGCACUCCAAGGCAAUGCACCGAGCAUGUUUGUCAUAUAAAUUCAGCCUUUAUUUAUCGAAAAAUGUACAUGAAUUCAAUCCUAGAAGACAUAUACAUCUCUAUGGCAUAUGUUUUUCGGUCAUUUAACUUGACCUUCGUAGAAGCCAUUUUUUAAACAAACAGCCCAGCAGCCGAUCGCACUGUUUAUGUGCUUACAAACAUAGAUCCUUGCCAACUAAUAACUGACUACAGCAACCGCACCAUCGUAAGAUCACUGUAAGUGGCCUAUCCUUAAUUUUCUUCCUUCAUUUUUAUAACCCAUAACACAAUCAUUUUUUUCCACAAGGCAAAAAAAAACUCUAAUGGAACCUCAAUGUAAACGAUGAGGGAGAGGGGUUUCUUCCAAAACACCAGAGAGCAAUGGUUUUUCAAAUAACACAAACCAGCAAAUGAUUGUUUCAUCUACCACUAAAUAAAGAUUAGCUUAGUUUAGCAAUAAAAGUUUGACUAAAACACUAUCAAAGAUGAUUUUUAUGUCAAUAAAAAUACUCCUUUGAUUGAAUUAUAUUCCGUUAAAAGGCCGAGAAAUCAAAACGAAACACCAGAGGGGCAAGGAGCAAAAAACAAAGAUCCAAAACCCUGUGCCAAAGAGAGAGAGAGAUCAUGAUUCAACAAAGCAAUCUUUCAAAGGAUAAAAAACAAACAAAUGCAACUGAUAACCGUAACAUACCAAGAAGAAGGAUGCAACAGCUGCGGUUGCGAGCUCCUUGUCCAAGCAGCGGUUUUUCCUCGAAGAGGUUGCUUCAUAGCUGCAACACAAAUUAUCGUCGUUCAAAAACGCAACUUAUGAGUUUUGAAAAGUGGAGAAAUGUGUAAACGGACACACUUUGAAGUUGUGUGUGGAUCAAAGAUUUGAGGAACUUCUUUCUAUUACCAUUUCUUUUCAGUUCACAAUUCCAAGAUCCAACACAAUUUUUUUAUAUUUUGGAAUUGAAGGGCUCAACAAGGCCUCUCAAAUUCAAUGACUUGUACAAACUUGAUGCAAACUACACGAGCUCUGUGUUUACAUGAACUCGGUUAUGGUACGGGGUGCGGUCGUGCCGUCCAACGUGUCAAACCUUUCUAAACUUAAAUUUUAGAAUAUUAUGAUAUGUGUCCAAAAAUGAGCAUGUCAUGAUUUUUGGUUUUGAUAAAAAGAGUAUUGUCUAUUUUUCCUCUUGUAAAACCAUUGUCAUUCAAUAAUUUGUUUAGCCUAUAUCAUACUCUUGAUGCUUGCUUCAAACCAUAAAGAACUUUGGACAAUUUAAAUACGUAGUUUGGAAAAUCAUGAGUUUUUAACCUGGGAGGUGGUACAACAUACACUUCUUCCGUAAUGUGUCAAUUUAAGAAUGCACUUUUAACAUCCAUUUGAUAGAGUUUAAAGUCCAUGUAUCAUGAAAAUGCAAGUAACAUUCAGAUGGCUUCUAAUCGUGCUACCAGAGCAGAUGAUUAAUCAAAGUUAAUGCCUUUCUCUUGGACUAUAUCCUUCGGGAAAAACAAGUCUAACUUUAAUUCUAAUAAUGAUUUCGAAUUCAUCGCAAAUUAUUUCUAAAUCCCCAUUUAGUACAUAUUUAUAGAAUGAUCACUAGGUCUAGGUACUGAGGUUCACUUUAUUUCUUUCAAAUUAAGUAACCUCUUCUUGUAUUGCUAAUACGCAAUGUUCGUCAAAUCACUUCAUAAAAAUUUAGAUUCGAUUUGAAAUAAGAAAUGCAAAUGGGUACCACAAAUAUUUCUAAUAGAUGGUCUAGUGGUUACCCUUUUUAGGAUCUCAAUAAGGAGAAUUUGUUGGGUGGGUUGUGGGAACUCUAUUUCUUGAAGGCUGAGUUGUUACCACCUUGCUCUGCAAUUCAUUGAGGUAAAAUCACCUCUGGUUGAAGCCUUUCUCAAAAAAAAAAUCUUGAGGCUUCCCAUUUUCUUAAGCUAUCUUUAAGUUUUUGUACUUUCUAUUUUCUCGUCACGAUUUCGAGCAAUAUACUUUUAAAAAAAAAAGUAUAGAAUUCAUAAAAUGCAAUUAUCGAGUGAGGAGGAUGGUGGAGGAUCUCCGCGUGAACAAGAAGUAGGGUUGUGCAAAUAUUCGAUUCCACCAGUCAACCCGGACCGACCUGAACCUAUUCAAACGAAUCCGACCAACUCGGACUCACUAUACGGGUGAAUAACGGAUAGGAUCUUUAACUAAACCCGACAUAUCGGUUUGGGGGUGUCAGGUCAUUCAAUCGCCCAACCCGGACAAAAAAUAUACUUAGAAUUCACAAUUUUCACCCAACCCAUAAAAUUUUACCCGAAGCGACCCCAACUCGACCAUCUAUUGGAUCGGAUCGGGCUAAAUUUCUCCAAUCUUACCCAGUUGGAUCAGGUGUCGGGUGACUCCAAACCCGACCCGCCCGAUCGACACAUGAACGGAUCUACAAGAGUGGUCGGCAGCUUUUUAAAACACGUCACUGUUGAUCCUUGACAUCCCAAUUCCACAGGCAAUAUCAAAGUGACAAGGUUUUCUUACUGUUUUUUGUUUUCUUUCUUUAAUGGAAGCCACCUUCUUUGACUUUGUUUCUUUAUUUUAUUCAAAGUAACCUUUCACACUUCUCCAUUUAAAAUUCGUGGAGGAAAAGUGGUUAAGGUGAAGGCCCACCCGAUACCCGAGCAUCCGGGUCGGGUUGGGUGGCUCUUGUUGGGGAUGCGGCGGGUACGCGACCAAAUGUUCCGGGGAGGGAACAUAUUUUGUGACCAAGAGCGAUCGGAUGUGUUGGAAAUUUAACUGUAUGACGAUGUCUUCAAAUACAGUAAAUAUUGUAUAUUUCGAGGUACGUUACUAUAUUUUUUUCUUAAUAACAGUAUUUGCCCUUACUAAAUGAUGUGCACGAGUUACAAUAAAUCUGCUUUCAAGAUAUAAUGAAGCUCGAACUCUAAAUUCUUACCGUUUGUAUUUGCAAAACAAUAUAGUCAGAAUAUCUGCGUAAAAUUGUAAAACAUAUGAAUGCGUCAAUGUUUAGCUUUUUUAAACAUUUGACGUGAUAUUUUUUAAAAUUUCUCACCCACCCCACCAUCAUUGACUGAGACACCCCCUCCUCAAGAGAGAGAGUUGAGCCAAAACUAUUAUCGCGAAUUUGGGCGACUCUCAUGGCUGUGCGGCAGCAACAACUGCUUGUGACGACAACAAUGCAACUGUUCUCUCUCUCUCUCCACAUGUGUCCACGCACGCUGUUUAUCUACAAGUAUGUGGGUGAUCGGUGAUAGGUUUGGGUCGGUAGUAAGGUGGAGAGGAUUGGGUUUUAGGUUAUGGGUUUUGGUUUCAGAUCUUAGGUAUUGGGUUUUGUGCUGACAUGGCGCCAUGUGUAGCAUUCUGUCAACACUUUGGUUGGAGUUAGCAAUUGGUUUCAAUUAGAAGUAAAUUUAUAAGUUA
rnacentral:lncRNA from 1 species